GGGGCUGCAGCUGCUGACACUCUCCUUUGGCUGGUAGUUUAGGAACUUUUUUUUUUUUUAUUUAAGGGCUUGCAAUGUUGUUCACGGGGAUAGAGGUUGAACAUUGUUGAAUGUUAGAAGCAUGGUGAUUUAAUUUCAAAGCUACAUUCAAUAUCUUUUUGCUGGGAGCCGCACCCUUCAUUUGUUUUUCUUUUUCGUUGAAUGUUUUGGAUGAACUCAUGGAGAUUGAUUCCAGCAGCAGCC
rnacentral:lncRNA from 1 species